rnacentral:lncRNA from 1 species
UAGCCUCUAAUUUUCGUAGAAUAGAAUUAGUUUAGCAAUAAAAAAAACCUAAUAUAACAAAAGGGAAAUUUGAGCCCUUAUGGAAAUUGACCUGAAAAUUACAAAAACCGGCCCAAACUAACUAAUUUAAUUAAAUCUAGAACUUCAACGAAUUAUUCGAUUCUCCUUCACUCCGAAUCAACUUUUGACUUCAACACUAAACUUGUAGCUCUUACUCUUAGAUUUCCAAUGCAUAUCAU